GCCUCAUUGGGUCAGGAGUAGAGCGUCUGCCUAGAAAAUAUAAGGUUGCUUGUUCGAAUCCAGCAUGAAGCA
rnacentral:tRNA from 1 species